rnacentral:rRNA from 1 species
GCGGAGGAAAAGAAACCAACAGGGAUUGCCCUAGUAACGGCGAGUGAAGCGGCAACAGCUCAAAUUUGAAAUCUGGCUCUUUCAGAGUCCGAGUUGUAAUUUGCAGAGGGCGCUUUGGCUUUGGCAGCGGUCCAAGUUCCUUGGAACAGGACGUCACAGAGGGUGAGAAUCCCGUACGUGGUCGCUAGCUAUUGCCGUGUAAAGCCCCUUCGACGAGUCGAGUUGUUUGGGAAUGCAGCUCUAAAUGGGAGGUAAAUUUCUUCUAAAGCUAAAUAUUGGCCAGAGACCGAUAGCGCACAAGUAGAGUGAUCGAAAGAUGAAAAGCACUUUGGAAAGAGAGUCAAACAGCACGUGAAAUUGUUGAAAGGGAAGCGCUUGCAGCCAGACAUGCUUGCAGUUGCUCAUCCGGGCUUUUGCCCGGUGCACUCUUCUGUAGGCAGGCCAGCAUCAGUUUGGGCGGUGGGAUAAAGGUCUCUGUCACGUACCUCUCUUCGGGGAGGCCUUAUAGGGGAGACGACAUACCACCAGCCUAGACUGAGGUCCGCGCAUCUGCUAGGAUGCUGGCGUAAUGGCUGUAAGCGGCCCGUCUUGAAACACGGACCAAGGAGUCUAACAUCUAUGCGAGUGUUUGGGUGUCAAGCCCGAGCGCGUAAUGAAAGUGAACGGAGGUGGGAACCCGCAAGGGUGCACCAUCGACCGAUCCUGAAGUUUACGGAAGGAUUUGAGUAAGAGCAUGGCUGUUGGGACCCGAAAGAUGGUGAACUAUGCUUGAAUAGGGUGAAGCCAGAGGAAACUCUGGUGGAGGCUCGCAGCGGUUCUGACGUGCAAAUCGAUCGUCAAAUUUGGGCAUAGGGGCGAAAGACUAAUCGAACUAUCUAGUA